UCACAGUUUCACGGCGUCCCCAUUUCUUCUUUAUAUUUUACUUCGCUUACUUCCUUCCCAUUUUCUCUCUCUCUCUCUCUCUCUCUCUCGAAAAUCCUAAAGAACCAAAACAAAAUUUCACUCCAAAUUUUCUCUCAACAAUCAGAAUCACUACUCUUUAUUUCGAUUGUUUUUUGUUCGCAUCGGAAUUCAUAGUCGAAGUCGAACGAGCUAUUUGACCAUUGGAGACGGUGUUUUUUUUCUUCUCCUUUGUUGAUUUUGGAUUUUGGAGAUGGAUUUGUGAGUGAUUCCUGCGAAAUGGAGACCUGGCGGUUUUCUGGAUUUGGUGAUUGUGAUUCCAUCCGAUGAGACGCCGCCCGGUAGUGAUUGCCCCGUUGGAGCAUAUGGAGAGAGGAGCCGGGAAGAAUCAGAACUCUCGGCUUUGUUUUUUAGCGUUGUUGUCGGCGUUUUUCUGGAUCCUAUUAUUGUACUUUCAUUUUGUGGUGCUUGGAGGUCACUCUGUUGAUGAAUCAAUCACAUUAAACCCUGAAGAUGGACCUGUUAACUUGCCUGUAGUCCGGAAGUUUGCCCCUUCUCGUGUAGUAGAUGCGCCGAAAAUUGAUGUGAAAUCAAUUCGUGAGCCUCCGAAGCCUGUUGAUCGGGAGCCUAAGUUCACUGCCAAACCUGAGAUUCAGACAUUUCCGUUCGUUAAAGCAUUGAAAACUGUUGAAAAUAAGAGUGAUCCAUGUGGCGGGAGGUAUAUAUUUGUUCAUGAUCUUCCUUCUAGGUUUAAUGAGGAUAUGUUGAAGGAGUGUAAGAGUCUAAGCCUUUGGACAAAUAUGUGCAAGUUCACAACUAAUGCUGGGCUUGGUCCACCACUUGAAAAUGUGGAAGGAGUGUUUUCAGAUACAGGCUGGUAUGCAACAAAUCAGUUUGCGGUCGAUGUGAUUUUCAGUAAUCGAAUGAAGCAAUAUGAUUGUUUGACUAAGGAUUCUUCCAUUGCUGCUGCUUUCUUCGUGCCAUUUUAUGCUGGGUUUGAUAUUGCGAGAUACCUUUGGGGAUAUAAUAUAUCUACUAGAGAUAGAGCUUCACUUGAUUUGGUGAACUGGCUCGAGAAAAGGCCCGAAUGGGGCAUUAUGGGCGGUCGAGAUCACUUCCUUGUUGCUGGUAGGAUCACAUGGGAUUUCAGGAGGCUUUCUGAGGAAGAAAGAGAUUGGGGAAACAAGCUUCUGUUUUUACCUGCUGCUAAGAACAUGUCCAUGCUUGUAGUUGAAUCAAGCCCAUGGAAUGCCAAUGAUUUUGGUAUUCCAUAUCCAACAUAUUUCCAUCCUGCAAAGGAUUCUGAUGUCUUUAUUUGGCAGGAUCGGAUGAGAAAACUCGAACGGAAAUGGGUGUUCUCUUUCGCAGGUGCUCCACGCCCCGACAAUCCCAAGUCAAUAAGAGGGCAGAUUAUUGAUCAAUGUAAGAAUUCUAAGGUCUGCAAGCUGCUGGAAUGCGAUUUUGGGGAGAGCAAGUGCCAUUCUCCUAGUAGUAUAAUGCAAAUGUUUCAGAGCUCUCUUUUCUGCCUGCAACCUCAGGGCGAUUCAUACACCAGAAGAUCUGCUUUCGAUGCGAUGUUAGCCGGUUGCAUACCUGUCUUCUUCCAUCCGGGAUCAGCAUACACCCAAUAUACUUGGCAUCUCCCAAAGAAUUUUACAAGAUAUUCAGUAUUCAUCCCAGAGGAUGAUAUCCGCAAGAGGAACAUUAGCAUAGAAGAAAGGCUUGCUCAAAUUUCACCUGAGCAGCUGAAGCUAAUGCAGGAGGAGGUCAUCUCUAUGAUUCCAAGAUUGGUAUAUGCUGAUCCGCGCUCCAAGUUGGAAACCUUGAAAGAUGCUUUUGAUGUCUCUGUGCAAGCGAUUAUCAACAAGGUGACAAAGUUGAGGAAAGACAUAAUUGAAGGGCACACCAAUGACAAUUUUAUCGAGGAGAAUAGUUGGAAAUAUGAGUUACUGGAAGAUGGGCAGCGGGAAGUUGGACCUCAUGAAUGGGAUCCUUUCUUCUCUAAACCAAAGGAUGGGGAUUCUGGUGAUACGUCGGCCGAAGCUGCAAAAAAUUCAUGGAAAAAUGAGCAGAGAGACAAAUCAUGAAACUGAUCGGCUGAAGUUGAUUGAUACGUCAGUAAACAUACCAUUGGCGGUUAAUUAGCUCAAAUAGAAGCCUAAAGAAAAGCUUCCAGCAUCAAACCAAGGACUUCUUUUUAUAGAUUGAAAGCUUAAUCAUCCUCCAGCUAAACAGGGCUGCCCUUCAAAAACAAAGCACUGCUCCGUAUACAUUGGAUAGAAGCACGAAAUCACCAUCGUGCGAAGAGCUUAUCUUGGAAAUCUUCGCCUUCACCUUUUCAACUAAAUUGAGAUUGUUAUGAUUCACACACGCUCCAAGAAGAGUCCUCCAGAUGAUUGAAUCUGGUUUCAUUGGCAUUCUUUCAACAAAUUCAUAAGCUUCAUUCAAUAGGCCUGCCCGACCAAGAAGAUCAACCAUACAACCAUAAUGCUCUAGAAGAGGAUCCAUCCGAUAGACUUUCCGAAUGCUUUCAAAAAUGUCCCUACCUUCUUUUACAAGACCGCCAUGGCUACAAGCUACUAAGACACCAGUGAACGUAAUAUAAUCUGGUUGAACCCCUGAAUUUCUCAUGCUAUGAAACAUUGCUAAAGCCUCCGUGCUACGCCCGUGAACCCCAAGCCCAUUGAUUAGGGUCGUCCAUGUCAAUACAUUCCUCACUGCCAUUUCUUCGAAUACAACAAUUGAUUCAUCAAUAGAUCCACAUCUGGAGAACAUAUCAAUAAGAGCAGUUCCUAAAGCAACAGAGAUUCCCAAGCCAAGUCUGCCGAUAAACGUUCGAACCCAACGACCCAAUUCUAAAUCUCCCAAAUGUGAGAUUGCAGAUAUCACACUAAGCAUGGUUACCUCAUCAGGCACUACUUUAUCUUCCAAUUGCAUUUUCUGAAACAAGGCCAAAGCCUCAGAUGCAUGGCCAUUAUUAAGAAAAGAAGCAAUAAUAGUAGACCAAGAAACAGAAUCCCUCUCAGACAUUUCAUCAAACACCUUAACUGCCAUCUCCAAUGACCCACAAUACCCGUAAACACAAAUCAAAGCAUUUUGCACAAAAAUAUCAGAGUCCAAACCAUGCUUAACAAUAAGGGAAUGCAAGUGAAGGUUGAUUUGCAAUCGAGAACAUGCUUUGAGAACAAAAGGGAAUGUGAAAUUAUCAAAAGGGAUGCCGUUGGAACGCAUGGCAAAGAAAUAGGACAAAGAAUGAGAAGGAAAGAGGUGAGAAUGUGAUCGUAUGAUGGUGUUACAAGCGAAAGUAUCUGGAGAAGGAAUUCGAGAGAAUACAUAACGAGUAUAAGAUAAGCUUUCGGGAGCUGUAGCAACACAGGAAAGAAGAAGGGUACGGAGAGAAAGAGGAUCAGUCUGCUUACCACUUUUGAUUAUGUAACAAUGGAGUUUGUAAACACUGUUCAUGAAAGCUUGUACAGUUCAGAGUACAAACCUGAGAAUUACUUCAAGCAUUCAAUGAAAAGUACCGAUCAUUACACUGAAGUAUAGGGUGUCGAUUAUGUUGUUCUUACGAAAUCCGAACAAAAUUUGUUGAUGUUCGGACCUCAAAGACAGAGGAAGAAACUUUGAAUCUAUCCAAGAAUGACGAAUAAUUACUCAAAAGUUGGAUCAAUGGAUAUCAAAAUGAACCUUGAUUUUGUUUAGACAAAACCUUUAAAACCAAAGCUUAGGAUUUUAAUUGACCAAUAGACAAAUAGGUUUAAUAAUGGAUAAUUUUCAUAAAUGUAACCUAACAUAAAAUUAUUUAUGUUUCGGGUAACUAAGUCAAGUUAAAUAUUUUUUAAAUAUUUCAGAUUUU